UGGGGAAUAUUGGACAAUGGGCGCAAGCCUGAUCCAGCCAUGCCGCGUGGGUGAUGAAGGCCUUAGGGUUGUAAACUCCUGUCAGCGGGGAACCUGACCUCAUACGUCAGGAAGUUGAUUGUACCCGCAGAGGAAGCCCCGGCUAACUCU
rnacentral:rRNA from 1 species